CAAAAGUCAAACCCUAAAUCCCUAUCAGAAAAUCGAAAUCCCUAAUUCAACAUCAGUUUCAGAGGUCUCCGACUCCGCCUCUCGAUCUCUCCAUUUUUUCGACCAAAAGUCAGCUCAUCUAUCUUCUUCUUUGGCCAAAAAUCAGCUCAGCUCAUCUCUUCUUCUUCUUCUUCUUCAAUUUCAGUAACCAGCUCCCCUCUCUCGAUGGCAACCUCAUCGAAUUCGAUCCACUCAGACUUAGCUCUAUUAUCACUUGCGAGUUCAGCUUCUCAAGAUCUAGAAGCUGAUAGAGGAAAUGGGAAUGAGAAUCAUGAGAUUGUUGCUUUCCCCUAACAAGGUGAGAAUAAGGAACCAAAACAUGUAGUAGAAGGUGAAGAAGAAGGAGCAUCAACUCAGGCAUCCCAGGGUGAGGCAAAAAAGAGAAAAAAGAGAAAAAGAUAGGCAAAUGAAGAAGGCUGCCCGGGGUCGUGGGUGUGGGAGCAUUACGACAAGUACGACAGUCCACCCUUCAUUGAAAAAGAAGGGAAGAAAGAGGAAGUUCAAUUUGAGAAUCGUGCAAAAUGCAGGGCAAUGUUGCGAGCUACGGCUAGAUGAAGGAACUCGAUUGCGUGGUCGCCCAAUAGUACUUUUGCAGGCGUUAUUAGUUGAGGUCGGGCGUACGUGGUUCGAGGCAUAGUUGAUGAAUGGCUUCCGCACUUCUUUGUUGGCUCUGAUCUACUGUGGAUUUGUGUUUUGGGUAGUCCACUUUAGGGGUGACUCGACCAGUUCUCGAUUGAGUUAUCUCUAAGGUGGGCCCCGCAGGGCCACCUCGGAUUUCAGGGUGAAAUCCAAGGCGGGUCCUGUCAUAAAUCAUGAAAUAUUGAUAAAUUAUUCAUGCUCAAAUAUUAUCAUAAAAGUCAA